rnacentral:rRNA from 1 species
GAUGAACGCUGGCGGCGUGCCUAAUACAUGCAAGUCGAGCGAACAGACGAGGAGCUUGCUCCUCUGACGUUAGCGGCGGACGGGUGAGUAACACGUGGAUAACCUACCUAUAAGACUGGGAUAACUUCGGGAAACCGGAGCUAAUACCGGAUAAUAUAUUGAACCGCAUGGUUCAAUAGUUAAAGACGGUUUUGCUGUCACUUAUAGAUGGAUCCGCGCCGCAUUAGCUAGUUGGUAAGGUAACGGCUUACCAAGGCAACGAUGCGUAGCCGACCUGAGAGGGGGAUCGGCCACACUGGAACUGAGACACGGUCCAGACUCCUACGGGAGGCAGCAGUAGGGAAUCUUCCGCAAUGGGCGAAAGCCUGACGGAGCAACGCCGCGUGAGUGAUGAAGGUCUUCGGAUCGUAAAACUCUGUUAUUAGGGAAGAACAAAUGUGUAAGUAACUAUGCACGUCUUGACGGUACCUAAUCAGAAAGCCACGGCUAACUACGU